GUGCAGAUUGCAGACACAUAAACAGUACACACAAUAAUUUGAACAAUAUCUUAGAAGGUAAAUAGGAUAGUUGAAUCCAAUUGCUAAACAGAUUUUAGAAGAUUCACUUUCAAAAUAAGAUCCCGUUUAUUUCUGUGAACAAAGAAAUAUAAAUGAAAUUCUCAAUCACACAAACAGACCUUGAUUGGCAGAACUGACUGAGGUAUCCCCGAGGGAUUCAAACUGCUUCAGGAUCAUCCUACACAGAUCUUGAUUGGUAGAACUGACUGAUGUAUCCCCGAGGGACUCAAAUUGCUUCAGAAUCAACCUACACAGAUCUUGAUUGGUAGAACUGACUGAGGUAUCCCCGACGGACUCAAAUUGCUUCAGAAUCAUCCUACACAGAUCAUGACUGGUAGAACUGACUGAGGUAUCCCCGAGAGACUCAAUUUGCUUCAGAAUCAUCCUCCACCGAUCUGGAUUGGUAGAACUGCAUGAGGUAUCCCCGAGAGACUCAAAUAGCUUCAGAAUCAUCCUACACAGAUCUUGAUUGGUAAAACUGACUGAGGUAUCCCGGAGAGACUCAAAUUGCUUCAGAAUCACCCUACUGCACAAUAUAUAUAUAUAUAUAUAAAGGUAAAUAAAAUA
rnacentral:lncRNA from 1 species